ACACCUCAACCUUCGUGGUUUGCCACGAUUGGAUUGGACUUUGGAGGUUUUGCUGGCCCCCCUGUGGUCGGCUCCUCUCAAAUGAAUCAGCUUACCAGUGUUUGGUGGCGUCGCAGGUGUGAUAACUAUCUACGCUUGUGGCCGUCUGCCAUGUAACCUUCAGUGAUGAGGGUUUGCUGGGGGCUCACAGAUGUCUCUCCUGAGCGAAGACAGCUUUUUGAUC
rnacentral:misc_RNA from 1 species